UACGGGGGGGGCAAGCGUUGUUCGGAAUUACUGGGCGUAAAGGGCUCGUAGGCGGCCUGUUAAGUCGAACGUGAAAUCCCCGGGCUCAACCCGGGAACUGCAUCCGAUACUGGCAGGCUUGAAUCCGGGAGAGGGAUGCGGAAUUCCAGGUGUAGCGGUGAAAUGCGUAGAUAUCUGGAGGAACACCGGUGGCGAAGGCGGUUCUCUGGGCAUGUCCUGACGCUGAGGAGCGAAAGUGUGGGGAGCGAACAGG
rnacentral:rRNA from 1 species